rnacentral:rRNA from 1 species
UACGGAGGAUGCGAGCGUUAUCCGGAUUUAUUGGGUUUAAAGGGUGCGUAGGCGGAUCGUUAAGUCAGUGGUCAGAUUGAGGGGCUCAACCCCUUCCCGCCAUUGAAACUGGCGCUCUUGAGUGGAAGAGAAGUAUGCGGAAUGCGUGGUGUAGCGGUGAAAUGCAUAGAUAUCACGCAAAACCCCGAUUGCGAAGGCAGCAUGCCGGCUUCCGACUGACGCUGAAGCACGAAAGCGUGGGGAUCGAACAGG